UACGUAGGCAGCGAGCGUUGUUCGGAAUUACUGGGCGUAAAGCGUGCGCAGGCGGUUCGUUGUGUCGGUGGUGAAAGCCCCGGGCUUAACCUGGGAAUGGCCGUCGAAACUGGCGAACUGGAGUGUGGCAGAGGGGGGUGGAAUUCCGCGUGUAGCAGUGAAAUGCGUAGAGAUGCGGAGGAACACCGAUGGCGAAGGCAGCCCCCUGGGCUGACACUGACGCUGAGGCGCGAAAGCUAGGGGAGCAAACAGG
rnacentral:rRNA from 1 species